GGCAGGGUGGCUGAGUUGCAGGCGAUAGAUUGUAAAUCUAGUUACGAGAUUAAUUCUCUCAUGCCG
rnacentral:tRNA from 1 species